CAGAGCGGCCUCCCCCGUCCCCGCUCCGUCCAUCUUGGAGCCGGGCAAAGAAGCAACGCGGGGCCUACCCUCGCUCCGUGCCACGCGGACACCAGCACUGUAGGGCCGGGACGGGGACGCAGGGUCCGAACCCUCUCCCAGCGAGGCACGCCUCGAGAAAGAGCGCGCACAGCGGCAAGGGGAAUUUAUUGCUCAGCCAGAGUCCAAGAUGGCGACCGGCGGUGACGUACGCAAGAUCUCGUGAGAGCGAAAACGCGCGGCUUGACGGUGCCCACGCUUCUGCUUCAGAGGAAGAGCGCCUCUCGGAUAAGAACAGCACACUUUUAAACAGUACAGACUAGAGAAAAGUAAGAGGGGCGAAGUCUAAAAAUGAAACCGCUUCUGCCCAUCUGCAGGCUGCUUAGACUUUUAAACAGAUUUCCUGUAAAACCAAGCCCUCCUGU
rnacentral:lncRNA from 1 species